rnacentral:rRNA from 1 species
AAUCCAUAGGUUAAUGAGGCGAACCGGGGGAACUGAAACAUCUAAGUACCCCGAGGAAAAGAAAUCAACCGAGAUUCCCCCAGUAGCGGCGAGCGAACGGGGAGGAGCCCAGAGCCUGAAUCAGCAUGUGUGUUAGUGGAAGCGUCUGGAAAGGCGCGCGAUACAGGGUGACAGCCCCGUACACAAAAGCGCAUGUGCUGUGAGCUCGAUGAGUAGGGCGGGACACGUGGUAUCCUGUCUGAAUAUGGGGGGACCAUCCUCCAAGGCUAAAUACUCCUGACUGACCGAUAGUGAACCAGUACCGUGAGGGAAAGGCGAAAAGAACCCCGGCGAGGGGAGUGAAAAAGAACCUGAAACCGUGUACGUACAAGCAGUGGGAGCACCCUUUGGGUGUGACUGCGUACCUUUUGUAUAAUGGGUCAGCGACUUAUAUUCUGUAGCAAGGUUAACCGAAUAGGGGAGCCGGAGGGAAACCGAGUCUUAAUUGGGCGUUAAGUUGCAGGGUAUAGACCCGAAACCCGGUGAUCUAGCCAUGGGCAGGUUGAAGGUUGGGUAACACUAACUGGAGGACCGAACCGACUAAUGUUGAAAAAUUAGCGGAUGACCUGUGGCUGGGGGUGAAAGGCCAAUCAAACCGGGAGAUAGCUGGUUCUCCCCGAAAGCUAUUUAGGUAGCGCCUCGUGAAUUCAUCUCCGGGGGUAGAGCACUGUUUCGGCUAGGGGGCCAUCCCGGCUUACCAACCCGAUGCAAACUGCGAAUACCGGAGAAUGUUAUCACGGGAGACACACGGCGGGUGCUAACGUCCGUCGUGAAGAGGGAAACAACCCAGACCGCCAGCUAAGGUCCCAAAGUCAUGGUUAAGUGGGAAACGAUGUGGGAAGGCCCAGACAGCCAGGAUGUUGGCUUAGAAGCAGCCAUCAUUUAAAGAAAGCGUAAUAGCUCACUGGUCGAGUCGGCCUGCGCGGAAGAUGUAACGGGGCUAAACCAUGCACCGAAGCUGCGGCAGCGACGCUUAUGCGUUGUUGGGUAGGGGAGCGUUCUGUAAGCCUGCGAAGGUGGCCUGUGAGGGUUGCUGGAGGUAUCAGAAGUGCGAAUGCUGACAUAAGUAACGAUAAAGCGGGUGAAAAGCCCGCUCGCCGGAAGACCAAGGGUUCCUGUCCAACGUUAAUCGGGGCAGGGUGAGUCGACCCCUAAGGCGAGGCCGAAAGGCGUAGUCGAUGGGAAACGGGUUAAUAUUCCCGUACUUGGUGUUACUGCGAAGGGGGGACGGAGAAGGCUAUGUUGGCCGGGCGACGGUUGUCCCGGUUUAAGCGUGUAGGUGUGUGUUCCAGGUAAAUCCGGUUCACUUUAACACUGAGGCGUGAUGACGAGGCACUACGGUGCUGAAG